rnacentral:rRNA from 1 species
AACGAACGCUGGCGGCAUGCCUAACACAUGCAAGUCGAACGCCCUCUUCGGAGGGAGUGGCGCACGGGUGCGUAACGCGUGGGAACCUGCCCUUAGGUUCGGAAUAACUCAGAGAAAUUUGAGCUAAUACCGGAUAAUGUCUUCGGACCAAAGAUUUAUCGCCUUUGGAUGGGCCCGCGUUGGAUUAGCUAGUUGGUGGGGUAAAGGCCUACCAAGGCGACGAUCCAUAGCUGGUCUGAGAGGAUGAUCAGCCACACUGGGACUGAGACACGGCCCAGACUCCUACGGGAGGCAGCAGUGGGGAAUAUUGGACAAUGGGCGAAAGCCUGAUCCAGCAAUGCCGCGUGAGUGAUGAAGGCCUUAGGGUUGUAAAGCUCUUUACUGGGGAUGAUAAUGACAGUACCCAGAGAAUAAGACUCCGGCUAACUCCGUGCCAGCAGCCGCGGU